CCUAAAUACUACCUGAUGACCGAUAGAGGAGCAGUACCGUGAGGGAAAGGUGAAAAGGACCCCGGGAGGGGAGUGAAAGAGAACCUGAAACCUUGUGCUUACAAGCACUCAAAGCCCGUUAAAGGGUGAUGAGGUACCUUUUGUAGAAUGGUCCGGCGAGUUAUUGUUACUGGCAAGCUUAAGGCAUUCAGUGCCGGAGGCGCAGGGAGACCGAGUCUGAAUAGGGCGUAUGAAGUCAGUGGCAAUAGACCCGAAACCGGGUGACCUAUCCAUGGGCAGGUUGAAGUGGGGGUAAAACCCCAUGGAGGACCGAACGCACGCCCGUUGCAAUGGUCGGCGAUGACCUGUGGAUAGCGGUGAAAUUCCAAUCGAACUCGGAGAUAGCUGGUUCUCCCCGAAAUAGCUUUAGGGCUAGCGUUGGCUUAGAUUACCGGAGGUAAAGCACUGAAUGGGCUAGGGGCCGAUAAGGUUACUGAACCCUAUCAAACUCUGAAUGCCGGAUAAUUGAUGGCCAGCAGUCAGUCUACGUGAGAUAAGUCUCGUGGACAAAAGGGAAACAGCCCAGACCCACAGCUAAGGUCCCAAAGAUACGCUAAGUGGAAAACGAUGUGGAGUUGCGAAAACAACCAGGAUGUUGGCUUAGAAGCAGCCACUCAUUAAAAGAGUGCGUAAUAGCUCACUGGUCGAGUGACUCUGCGCGGAAAAUAUAACGGGGCUAAGCGUAACACCGAAGCUUGGGCUGCACAGCAAUGUGCGGGGUAGGGGAGCGUCGAAUAUGGGGUGAAGUCGCAGCGGAAGCAGCGGUGGACUGUAUUCGAGUGAGAAUGCCGGAAUGAGUAGCGAGAAUUAUGUGGGAAUCAUAAUGGCCGAAAAUCUAAGGUUUCCUGGGGAAGGUUCGUCCGCCCAGGGUAAGCCGGGAGCUAAGGCGAGGCCGGAAGGCGUAGUCGAUGCACAUACGGUUGAAAUUCCGUAGCCACCGAACCUUAAGUACACUGACACAUGGAGAUAGCGGGACCCGGGCGUUGGUUGACCCGGGCGUAAGGGACCGAACUUUAGUAGGGAAGUCCGCGAUGCUCUGUGGCGAGAAAAGGUGUAUGGUAUGCUAAGGUGCCCGUACCGCAAACCGACACAGGUAGAUGAGGAGAGAAUCCUAAGGCCAACGGGAGAAGGGUUGUUAAGGAACUCGGCAAAAUGACCCCGUAACUUCGGGAUAAGGGGAGCCUCCUACGGGAGGCCGCAGCGAAUAGGCCCAAGCGACUGUUUACCAAAAACACAGGUCUCUGCUAAAUCGAAAGAUGACGUAUAGGGGCUGACGCCUGCCCGGUGCUGGAAGGUUAAGAGGAGAUGUUAGCCGCAAGGCGAAGCAUUGAAUCGAAGCCCCAGUAAACGGCGGCCGUAACUAUAACGGUCCUAAGGUAGCGAAAUUCCUUGUCAGGUAAGUUCUGACCCGCACGAAUGGCGUAACGACUUGGGCGCUGUCUCAACAGCCCACCCGGCGAAAUUGUUGUACUGGUGAAGAAGCCAGUUACCCGCAACUAGACGGAAAGACCCCAUGGAGCUUUACUGUAGCUUAAUACUGGAAAUCGGUAAAUCAUGUACAGGAUAGGUGGGAGACUUGGAAGCCAGGGCGUCAGCUUUGGUGGAGUCACCCUUGGGAUACCACCCUUGAUUUGCUGGUUUUCUAACCUGCGGCCGUGAAUCCGGUCGGGGGACACUGUUAGGUGGGCAGUUUGACUGGGGCGGUCGCCUCCUAAAAGGUAACGGAGGCGCUCAAAGGUUCGUUCAGCACGGACGGAAACCGUGCAGUGAGUGUAAACGCAUAAACGAGCCUAACUGCGAGACCGACGGGUCGAGCAGUAACGAAAGUUGGAGUUAGUGAUCCGGCGGUAUGCAAGUGGAAGUGCCGUCGCUCAACGGAUAAAAGCUACCCUGGGGAUAACAGGCUGAUCUCCCCCAAGCGUCCACAGCGACGGGGAGGUUUGGCACCUCGAUGUCGGCUCGUCACAUCCUGGGGCUGUAUUCGGUCCCAAGGGUUCGGCUGUUCGCCGAUUAAAGUGGCACGCGAGCUGGGUUCAGAACGUCGUGAGACAGUUCGGUCCCUAUCUGUUGCGGGCGUAAGAGAUUUGAAGGGAGCUGUCCUUAGUACGAGAGGACCGGGAUGGAC
rnacentral:rRNA from 1 species